rnacentral:tRNA from 1 species
GGAGAGGUGUCCGAGCGGUUGAAGGAGCCGAUCUCGAAAAUCGGUAGGCGUUGACGCGUCUCGUGGGUUCGAAUCCCACCCUCUCCGCCA